AACGUAGGAGGCGAGCGUUAUCCGGAUUUACUGGGCGUAAAGGGAGCGUAGGCGGACUUUUAAGUGAGAUGUGAAAUACCCGGGCUCAACUUGGGUGCUGCAUUUCAAACUGGAAGUCUAGAGUGCAGGAGAGGAGAAUGGAAUUCCUAGUGUAGCGGUGAAAUGCGUAGAGAUUAGGAAGAACACCAGUGGCGAAGGCGAUUCUCUGGACUGUAACUGACGCUGAGGCUCGAAAGCGUGGGGAGCAAACAGGAUUAGAUACCCGUGUAGU
rnacentral:rRNA from 1 species